GGGGCGCCUUCCGCCGGCGGCGAGACCCUCAGUCCUCCCGGCAAAUAGCCGGCGCCCCCGGACUCGGACUCGAGCGCAGGUCCCCGUGAACGCCCCGGGAGAGAGGGUGCCAGGCGAGUUGGGUCGCUAUUUAAAGGACCGCCGGCCGGCGGCUCCCAGCGCCUCUUUCGGGCUCUUCCACUCGGAAGGGAAGGAGCGAGGAGCAGGCCAAACGCCGCCCGCCGAGGCCGCGAGCUGCUCACGGCACCCGCGGCUCAGCCAAGCCGUUGUUUUAAACGAGCAAUAAAAAUGAAUUAUGACUAAACGCCUUCUAACUUAAUGCUUUCGGACGGGGAUCCCCGGCAAAUACGACUGUUUGCUGGACCCAUCCACAGCUGGGAGAUUAAUCAGCCAUACUGAAAAUGUUCGACAUGGGUGGGGGAGGGGGGAAUGUAGCUGUUUGAAACAAAUGUGUAUAAAUAAAUGAAUUGUUGACCUGGAGAUUGGUAGCUUGUUCAAGAAAGUCCAUGUCCCUGAGUUGGGGGUUUCUGUAGGCACUUUAUUGCUCCACUUUCUAAAGCCUGGGCUGGGCCCAACUCUGAGGCUUCCUCAUCCUGUUUCUAUGACCAAGUUACAUCUAUGGCUUGAACCUCUACAAUGAAAAAACAAAUCCAUUCCCCUGAAAGAA